rnacentral:rRNA from 1 species
GAUGAACGCUGCCAGAAUGCUUAACACAUGCAAGUCUUUCGCGAAUCUGUGCUUGCACUGGUUAGCCAGGGGGGACGGGGGAGUAACGCGUAAAGAACUUGCCCUGCAGACAGGGAUAACAGACGGAAAUGACUGAUAACACCUGAUACAAUCGCCGGCCCGCAUGUUCCUGGCAAUGAAAAGUGAUGCUUCAGGCGAGCUUAGCGUCCUAUUAGCUAGUUGGUGAGGUGACGGCUGACCAAGGCGAUGAUAGGUAGCCGGCCUGAGAGGGUGAACGGCCACACGGGGACUGGGAUACGGCGCGUGCUCCUACGGGAGACAGCAGUAAGGAAUAUGGGACCAUGGGGGCUACCUUGAGACAGCAAUUCGGUGUGCAAGAAGAAGGUUUUCGGAUGGUAAAGUGCUUUCAGAAGGGCAGAAGAACGUGGGGGUACCAGCAGAAGAGACGCGGGUAACAUACGG